rnacentral:lncRNA from 1 species
AUUUUAUCCAACAUUUCAACCCCUACAUUUUAUCAAAUUGUAUUAAAAUAUACUAAAAAAUUAAUUUAUAUCUAAACCAAAUAGUGGUUAGAUAAAUUUUUACACAUGACCGUUCCUCAAAUUUCUCAAGCGAACAUGAAUAAUAAUGUUAUUUAACACCAGUGAUGCUAGAACACCAUUUUAGAUGACCACACUUGAUAAAGUCUAAUUAAAUGGAUAAUUUGACUUUGCAUUUUAUGAAUAUAUCAUUUGUUGCUUUCUAGUUGCCACUUAAAUUGGUGCUAAACACGUUUGGUGCUAAGUGCAUUUAACAGCUACAAAACCAACAAGUGAAAACAAAUAGUCACUUGGGCAGACGAUAUAGUAAACUCAACACUCGCGCGCUUCACGACAACAUAUUCCUUAAUAAAUUACAACGAAAUGAGAACUAAUUCAGAGUCGGGCUUUGAGACAAAUGGGAAAAGGCACAGAGGGAGAGUUUCGGAAUGUUACCAUCCACAACCUACGUUAAGCAAAUCCUCACUUUCUCGAACAAAAUUGCGACUGCUUAUUCCAGUUUUAUCCUG